ACCAUGCCGCCUUGAGCAUAUCUGAUCCUGGCUAAUUUCAGAAACUAAGCAGGGUCAGACCUGGUUAGUACUUAGAGGGGAGAUAACCAGUCAACACUGGGAAU
rnacentral:rRNA from 1 species